rnacentral:lncRNA from 1 species
GAGGUGCAGCUGGUGGAGUCUGGGGGAGGCUUGGUACAGCCUGGGGGGUCCCUGAGACUCUCCUGUGCAGCCUCUGGAUUCACCUUUAGCAGCUAUGCCAUGAGCUGGGUCCGCCAGGCUCCAGGGAAGGGGCUGGAGUGGGUCUCAGCUAUUAGUGGUAGUGGUGGUAGCACAUACUACGCAGACUCCGUGAAGGGCCGGUUCACCAUCUCCAGAGACAAUUCCAAGAACACGCUGUAUCUGCAAAUGAACAGCCUGAGAGCCGAGGACACGGCCGUAUAUUACUGUGCGAA